UUGAUAUGCACCUGGCCCAGGAAUGGGUUUCACCUUCCUUCCUAACUGCUUUGUCUGUUUGCUUCUUUAGGUCCUAGUGGGCCAAAGUGGCUUCUGUUCCAACACGUUCCUGUAGAGUGCGAGACCCGCAGCUUCAGCCUGGAAGCCGGUGACGGAGAUGUGGCCGCACCAACCAUCUGGAGCGACCCCCAACUCCUGUGACGCCGGGCUGGAGAGGCGCUCGUGGUGCCCAGAGGAGGAAUGAGCAGGGCUUGUGCCUGGGCUUGUCUGGGCUUGUUCAGAGCGGGGCUGCUCCCCCCUGUGAUCGCACAGAUUGGGGGCUUUUGGAGACGUUGCCAGAGUUUGGAAGCCAAGGCCAGGGCUACAGGGGCCCAGAGGCUGCGCACCUGUUCGCCACGGAGCUCAGGGUUUCUCACUGAACCUGGAGCUAGCCUGUCAGCCAGCAAAGGCCCAGGAGCUUCCUGUCUCCAUCCCCAACAAGGCGAGGACUGGAGUGCUGGGGAUGAAACCCAAGGUCUCAAGCCAAGCCAGGGCUCCACCAGCUGAACUACUGCCCUAGCCCAGUCACUAGAUCUUAAGGCAGCCUGGAGGUUAUGGUCAGUUUUCUGUGUAACCGGAGGCUGGAGUCCAAGGCGAUCCACCCCAACAUCGGCCUGGGUGUUGCUGUGGAAGACUCCAGGUUCCUGAGUCACUCACUACCUUAAAGUAAGGGUAUCCUCACCUUAGAUUGCGGGCGGGCUUCAUCUAAUCAUUUAAGGAGUAUAUGAGGUUUCCCUGGAGAGGAAUCACUUCCCGUUGACCUCAGUGUCAACUCUUCAGGCCUAAUCAGCCCCCUGGUUAUUUGGGUUUGGUUGGGGGAAGGUUGCUGUUGUUUUACAUUUCUUUGUUUGUUUGA